ACGAACGCUGGCGGCGUGCUUAACACAUGCAAGUCGAACGGAAAGGCCCUGCUUUUGUGGGGUGCUCGAGUGGCGAACGGGUGAGUAACACGUGAGUAACCUGCCCUUGACUUUGGGAUAACUUCAGGAAACUGGGGCUAAUACCGGAUAGGAGCUCCUGCUGCAUGGUGGGGGUUGGAAAGUUUCGGCGGUUGGGGAUGGACUCGCGGCUUAUCAGCUUGUUGGUGGGGUAGUGGCUUACCAAGGCUUUGACGGGUAGCCGGCCUGAGAGGGUGACCGGCCACAUUGGGACUGAGAUACGGCCCAGACUCCUACGGGAGGCAGCAGUGGGGAAUAUUGCACAAUGGGCGGAAGCCUGAUGCAGCAACGCCGCGUGCGGGAUGACGGCCUUCGGGUUGUAAACCGCUUUCGCCUGUGACGAAGCGUGAGUGACGGUAAUGGGUAAAGAAGCACCGGCUAACUACGUGCCAGCAGCCGCGGUGAUACGUAGGGUGCGAGCGUUGUCCGGAUUUAUUGGGCGUAAAGGGCUCGUAGGUGGUUGAUCGCGUCGGAAGUGUAAUCUUGGGGCUUAACCCUGAGCGUGCUUUCGAUACGGGUUGACUUGAGGAAGGUAGGGGAGAAUGGAAUUCCUGGUGGAGCGGUGGAAUGCGCAGAUAUCAGGAGGAACACCAGUGGCGAAGGCGGUUCUCUGGGCCUUUCCUGACGCUGAGGAGCGAAAGCGUGGGGAGCGAACAGGCUUAGAUACCCUGGUAGUCCACGCUGUAAACGGUGGGUACUAGGUGUGGGGUCCAUUCCACGGGUUCCGUGCCGUAGCUAACGCUUUAAGUACCCCGCCUGGGGAGUACGGCCGCAAGGCUAAAACCCAAAGGAAUUGACGGGGCCCCGCACAAGCGGCGGAGCAUGCGGAUUAAUUCGAUGCAACGCGUAGAACCUUACCUGGGUUUGACAUGGAUCGGGAGUGCUCAGAGAUGGGUGUGCCUCUUUUGGGGUCGGUUCACAGGUGGUGCAUGGCUGUCGUCAGCUCGUGUCGUGAGAUGUUGGGUUAAGUCCCGCAACGAGCGCAACCCUUGUUCACUGUUGCCAGCACGUUAUGGUGGGGACUCAGUGGAGACCGCCGGGGUCAACUCGGAGGAAGGUGGGGAUGACGUCAAGUCAUCAUGCCCCUUAUGUCCAGGGCUUCACGCAUGCUACAAUGGCUGGUACAGAGAGUGGCGAGCCUGUGAGGGUGAGCGAAUCUCGGAAAGCCGGUCUCAGUUCGGAUUGGGGUCUGCAACUCGACCUCAUGAAGUCGGAGUCGCUAGUAAUCGCAGAUCAGCAACGCUGCGGUGAAUACGUUCCCGGG
rnacentral:rRNA from 1 species